rnacentral:rRNA from 1 species
AGAAUCAACGCUGGCGGCGUGCCUAACACAUGCAAGUCGAACGCGAAAGGGGAGCAAUCCCUAAGUAGAGUGGCAAACGGGUGAGUAACACGUGGGUGACCUGCCUUCGAGUGGGGGAUAACGUCCCGAAAGGGACGCUAAUACCGCAUAACAUCCUGUCCUUAGACGGACGGAGAUCAAAGCUAGGGAUCGCAAGACCUGGCGCUUAAAGAGGGGCCCGCGCCUGAUUAGCUAGUUGGUGAGGUAACGGCUCACCAAGGCAACGAUCAGUA